CAGCCGUAAACUAUGCGCGUUAGGUGUAUCGGUGACCACGAGUUACCGAGGUGCCGAAGGGAAACCGUGAAACGUGCCGCCUGGGAAGUACGGUCGCAAGGCUGAAACUUAAAGGAAUUGGCGGGGGAGCACCACAACAGGUGGAGCCUGCGAUUUAAUUGGACUCAACGCCGGGAAGCUCACCGGAUAAGACAGCGGAAUGAUUGCCGGGCUGAAGACUCUGCAUGACUAGCUGAGAGGAGGUGCAUGGCGUAGACGUCU
rnacentral:rRNA from 1 species